AGCACGGGCCUCUCCAAAUAGUGCUCUUAAAAAUGUCAUAGCGAAACGUCUUUAGCUUUUCCAACCCAAACAGUCGCAACUCGCAUCGCAAAUUAACCAUGUCGAAGGAAGGGAGCGAUCCUCACCUGCCUGAUACAGACGGCGUCCCCAGCCUGCAAUCCCUCGUAGACUCUCUCCAGCGCAGAAUCAAGGAGCUAGAGGCAGAGAAUGCAAAGCUGUCAUCUCGACUUUCAAGAUGUCGUUGUCAUGAGAUAGAGGAAGCAUGUGACAGGGCUGUCAUAGAUCGUGAUAGUCCUGUUGAGGAAAGGAGGGAAUCAAAAACAGGUGGUAGUAGGACCGCAAAGAAGAAUGUAGCAGAGAAAAUUCCAGGGUAUAACACAAGGACCAUGAAUCACCAUUGCAAGAGAUUUGUUGCUCUAAAAAUCAUGUAUUUCGGGCAAAGGUUCUAUGGUUUUGCUUCAGAGGCACAAAUGGAUCCUACCAUUGAGUCCGAAAUUUUCGAUGCUUUUGAGAAAACAAGGCUAUUAGUUGGUGACAAGAAGGAGUUACAGUACUCAAGGUGCGGUAGAACAGACAAGGGGGUGUCCUCUGUUGGACAAGUGAUCGCUCUCUUUUUACGAUCAAACCUCAAGGGAACUAGUGUGAACAGUGAAAAUUCAGGACAAAUUGUUUUAGACGAUAAAUUUGAAGGAGAAAUCGAUUAUGUGAGGGUGCUGAAUCGAGCUCUUCCUAAUGAUAUUCGAGUUGUAGGCUGGUGUCCAGUUCCAGUUGGUUUCAGUGCAAGGUUUAGCUGUUUGAGCAGGGAGUAUAAAUACUUCUUUUGGAGGGAAAACCUGAAUCUCUUGGCUAUGGAGAGUGCUUGUAAGAAAUUCAUUGGGGAACAUGACUUCAGAAAUUUUUGUAAAAUGGAUGCAGUAAAUGUGCACAACUACAGGCGGCGUAUCACGUUGUUCGAAAUUUUUCCUUCUAUGUAUGAUGGCAAUCAACUUUGGGAAUUUAAAAUUAAAGGUAGUGCUUUUCUGUGGCACCAAGUCCGUUGCAUGGUUGCUGUAUUGUUAAUGAUCGGCCAAGGUCUUGAAUCUCCUGAUGUGAUAGACAAAUUACUGGAUACUUACAGGACACCAAGGAAACCUCAGUACUGCAUGGCUCCAGAGCUUCCUUUGGUUCUUCAUUCUUGUGAAUUUGAAGGUCCAAAGUUUAUUUGUUCCACAGAUGCCGGACAAGCUCUGCGUGUACACUUGGUGAAUCAAUGCCGCAAUUACCAGCUCCCAGCUGCAAUAUUUCAUGAAGCUCUGCUAAGCUGUUUGCCCAUAUCAAUCAGAGCUCAUUAAAAAAUGGAAAAACCAAGAAAAAAGCUCCCCAUGUUCCACUCAUGUCUCGGCCAACUGAGCCAUCAUACGAAGAGCGACGUAUGAAAUUGAACUCCAAAACGUAGGGUUUAUCAAAAUCCUCUCGGAGAGUAUAGGAAAUGUAAGAAAUUGAUUCUUCUUUGCAACUUUUGUUGCUUUUGUGGUAUUUAAAUCAACCACAUUUUAUUGCAAAAUAAUGUUCUUUUUCUAAUUGAUGUAAUUUUUUCAUGAAAUGAGUUGUAGUUGUUGGCAGCCGCUGUGUUUCAAUAGGACAAAAUUAUUGACAUUUCGAGGUUUAUUUUUCCUCUUAUAUGGACGCCUGCAAUUUGUUCUCAUGUGUUUGAGCCAUUGUAAUUAUCCGUGAGUUUUCCCCUUGUAGUGUGUAGGGAUUUAUCCAUUUAUCGUAGGAGAAAAUAUCUUUAAUGGUUC